GAGAAGCUUGGAUGGGAGUAGAUGAUGAAGAGAAAAAAAAGUCUCCCUCAGAAGGCACUGAUGAGAAGGCUAAUGGAACGCAUCCAAAGACCAUCAGCCGCAUCGGGAGCACCACUAACCCGUUUUUGGACAUUCCUCACGACCCAAAUGCUGCUGUGUACAAAAGCGGAUUCUUGGCUCGGAAAAUCCAUGCAGAUAUGGACGGAAA